GUGAGGCCUUCUGACUGGCGCCGAUACUCUGGCAACAGAGCGCCGGAUGCCGGGAAGUUGGUCAAACUUGAUCAUUUAGAGGAAGUAAAAGUCGUAACAAGGUUUCCGUAGGUGAACCUGCGGAAGGAUCAUUACCGAUAAAAUCCAAUGGAUUUUAAACCUCUGUGAACCGUACACAAUCUUUAGGGGUCGGUGGCGCUACCGUUAAAUGGUCGUCAGUCCGUGCAUUCGGCUUUCGGCCAGCCCCGCCAUGACAUUUUGUUGACGCACUUCAAUGUAUUGCUCUGAUGAAACAUCUCUGCCCGUCGUGAGAUAUCUCACGGGCACGAGUGACCAAAAAAAGUCAUGAGACAACUUUUAACGGUGGAUCUCUAGGCUCACGUAUCGAUGAAGAACGCAGCCAGCUGCGAUAAGUAGUGUGAAUUGCAGAAUUCAGUGAAUCAUUGAAUCUUUGAACGCAAAUGGCGCUCUUGGGUUCUCCCAGGAGCAUGUCUGUCUGAGUGUCGGAUACCAUCUAACGCACUCGUAAUUUUAGUGUGCGGAAUUGAGGCGUCACGGCGUUCUCUCUCGCCGUGUCCCUUGAAGGAAAGCGUGUUAGACUCGCAUCGUGCGGUUUUUUUCUGCACUCCGUGCGAAGGCUAAAGACAUUAUUUUGUCCUUCGUCUGGGUGUCGGUCCGCCAGCGCGAGUCGGCCGAAAA
rnacentral:misc_RNA from 1 species